UUCAUUGAGCGGGGCCGAUGUAGAUGGGACUGGAGAGGGUGGCAGGGCUGAGGGCAAGAUUUCCAGCACCAAUAGAGCUCUGUGUAAUGAUGGUUCUUGCUUGGCUUUAUUAGUUGGCAGAGGAAUCGUCCAGGAGCCCUAGCCGCACAAGAAUAUGGCGGAAGUGGACCUGAGCAGCCUGGACAUCCUUCUAAGGAGACAUGAAUAGUCCUCAUGUUUCUGCCUUCUGCAUCGCUGGCUAUGAGUAAGAGUACCAAGGGAAAUGAAGUCACGCGUCAGAGUCUACCGCCCUCAUGCGAUGGAAAGCGAGCGAGAGCGUCGAGACUCUGAGCAUUGUUGAUGCCACGCAAAAGCCUUCCAUCUGGGAGCCGAGGAGACGCUGCUGUCAGUGAGAUAAGUGUUUGGUUUCAUGAGAGCUCUGCUCACGCCCAACCUGAGUCCAGGUAGGGAAGCCCCGUACGGUAGGGCUGGGUUUGUAUGUAAAGGUUCCUGACUAGCUGUGGUCACGUGGGAGAAAAGGUCCCUAUUUUGAGAGGUUGCUCAUUUCUCUGGUCAGGAACGGUGUCUCCUCCGCAGCAGAAGGUUGCAUCCAGGAGGAUGACUCCAGGUGUUUGCAGAGGAAUCGUCCAGGAGCCCUAGCCGGACAAGAAUAUGGCGGAAGUGGACCUGAGCAGCCUGGACAUCCUUCUAAGGAGACAUGAAUAGUCCUCAUGUUUCUGCCUUCUGCAUCGCUGGCUGUGAGGAAGAGGUUUAGUACCAAGGAAAACAAAGUCACGCGUCAGAGUCUACUGCCCUCAUACGAUGGAAAGCGAGCGAGAGCGUCUAGACUCUGAGCAUUGCUGAUGCCACGCAAAAGCCGUCCAUCUGGGAGCCGAGGGGACGCCGCUGUCAGGGAGAUAAGUGUCUGGUUUGGUGAGGGCUCUGCUCACGCCCAACCUGAGUCCAGGUUGGGAAGCCCACUAAGUUAGGGCUGGGUUUGUAUGAAAAGGUUCCUGACUAGCUGUCGUUACGAGGGGGAAAGGUCCCUAUUUUCAGAGGUUGCUCAUUUCUCUGGUCAGGAACGGUGUCUCCUCCGCAGCAGAAGGUUGGAUUCAGGAGGAUGACUCCAGGUGGUCAGUUGCUUGCUUUCCUCCCAUUUUCCUCUCUCUCUCUCUCCUCUUGUGUGUUGGCCAACUUUCUCACUCUUUCCUCUCCUGUUCUCGUGCCGUCUCUCUUCGUAGGACACGGGCAUGCGUGCUAGGUGUGCAUCCCUGCAGGCCAGGUCUUGGGAGCCAUGGAGAAGUAGGAGGGGACGAAAACCAUGCAGGGCUGUGACUGUCGGUGUUAACUCGGUCUCUGUUCAUCGAGUGGGGCUGACUUAGAUCGGAUUGGAGAGGCAGGCCAGGAUGAGGGCAAGAUUUGAAGCAACAAAUAGAGCUUUAAGUAGUGAUGGCUCAUGCUUGGCUUUUGCAGCUUGGCUUCCAGAGGAAUUUUCCAAGAGCCCUAGCCUGAGGAGAAAGUGGCACUAGUGGACAUUAGCAGACGGGACAUCCUUGUCAGCAGACAUGAACAGUCCUCCGCUUUCUGACUCCCGCAUAACUGGCUGACCGAGGGAAAAGAAGUCACGCGUCAGAGUCUCAAGCCCUCAUGCGAUGGAAAGCGAGCCAGAGCGACGAGACCGCGAACAUUGUUGAUGCCAGGCAAGGGUCGUCUAUCUGGGAUGCGAGCACACGCCACUCUCAGUGAGAUAAGUGUCUGGUUUGGUGAUUGCUGUGCUCACGGCCCACCUUGCUCCUGCUAGGGACGCCACGUUAGCUGGGGCUGGGUUUGUAAGAAAUGGUUCCUGACCAGCUGUGCUUACGAGAGAGACAAGGUCCCCAUUUUCAGGGUCUGCUCAUUUCUCUGGCCAGGAGCGGUGUCUCCUGCGCAGCGGAAGGGUGCAUCUAGGAGGAUGACUCCAGGUGGUAAGUUGCUUGCCUCCCUCCCAUGUCUGUCUCUCUCCCUUCUCUAGUGUGUUGGCCAACUUUCUCACUGUCUCGCCUCUCCUCUCCUCUCCUCUCCUCGUGCCGUCUCCCUUCGUAGGACACGGGCAGGCGUGCUAGGUGUGCAU